AGUUUGAUCCUGGCUCAGGAUGAACGCUAGCUACAGGCUUAACACAUGCAAGUCGAGGGGCAGCGGUAUCGAAAGCUUGCUUUCGGUAGCCGGCGACCGGCGCACGGGUGAGUAACGCGUAUCGAACCUGCCUCAUACUCGGGAAUAGCCUUGCGAAAGUAAGAUUAAUGCCCGGUGUUUUAAAUCCCCCGGAGGGCUUAAACAAAUUUUUUUGGGUUAAGAGGCGGCGCUCCCAUAGGUUGGGGCGGGGGAACGCCCCACAAAGGCUUUGGGUGGAAGGUUUUAAGAGGAAGCUCCCCACAUUGGAAAUGGGCCCGGGCCAAACUCCUUCGGGGAGCCACAGGGAGAAUAUUGGUCAAUGGGCGGAACCCUGACCCACCCAAAUAGGCGCCAGGAAGCGCGCCCUCCGGGUUGUAAAACUGCUUUUAGUUGGGAAUAAAACGGGGCUUCGUGACCCCCCUUGCCAUGUACCAUCAGAAAAAGGACCGGCUAAUUCCGUGCCAGCAGCCGCGGUAAUACGGAAGGUCCGGGCGUUAUCCGGAUUUAUUGGGUUUAAAGGGAGCGCAGGCGGACCUUUAAGUCAGCUGUGAAAUACGGCGGCUCAACCGCCGAACUGCAGUUGAUACUGGAGGUCUUGAGUGCACACAGGGAUGCUGGAAUUCAUGGUGUAGCGGUGAAAUGCUCAGAUAUCAUGAAGAACUCCGAUCGCGAAGGCAGGCAUCCGGGGUGCAGCUGACGCUGAGGCUCGAAAGUGCGGGUAUCAAACAGGAUUAGAUACCCUGGUAGUCCGCACAGUAAACGAUGAAUACUCGCGGUUUGCGAUAUAGUGUAAGCCACCAAGCGAAAGCGUUAAGUAUUCCACCUGGGGAGUACGCCGGCAACGGUGAAACUCAAAGGAAUUGACGGGGGCCCGCGCAAGCGGAGGAACAUGUGGUUUAAUUCGAUGAUACGCGAGGAACCUUACCCGGGCUUGAACUGCCAGCGACGGAUGCAGAGACGCAUUUUUCUUCGGACGCUGGCGGAGGUGCUGCAUGGUUGUCGUCAGCUCGUGCCGUGAGGUGUCGGCUUAAGUGCCAUAACGAGCGCAACCCUCAUCCUCGUUUGCCAUCAGGUGAUGCUGGGCACUCCGGGGACACUGCCAUCGUAAGAUGUGAGGAAGGUGGGGAUGACGUCAAAUCAGCACGGCCCUUACGUCCGGGGCUACACACGUGUUACAAUGGGCGGUACAGAGGGCAGCCACUGCGCGAGCAGGAGCCAAUCCUCAAAGCCGUUCUCAGUUCGGACUGGAGUCUGCAACCCGACUCCACGAAGCUGGAUUCGCUAGUAAUCGCGCAUCAGCCAUGGCGCGGUGAAUACGUUCCCGGGCCUUGUACACACCGCCCGUC
rnacentral:rRNA from 1 species